GCUGCGUCUGCUGCAGUAGUGGCAGGUGUGAGCGACGUGUGCGGACGUCUGGUGAGCGCCAUGCUCACGCAGGUGUCGCCCCCAGUCAUCCUAACGCGAGUGCUGCGCCAGCCCUCAGCCUGUCAGGCUGACCACGUCUUCACGCUAAUGCAGGGUCUGGCCGUGAGGUACGGGUACCUGAUAUUUGCUUGCCUGC